AGCGAACGCUGGCGGCAGGCUUAACACAUGCAAGUCGAGCGGGCACUUUCGGGUGUCAGCGGCGGACGGGUGAGUAACGCGUGGUAACGUGCCCUCUGGUUCGGAAUAACUCAGGGAAACUUGAGCUAAUACCGGAUACGCCCUUUUGGGGAAAGGCUUGCUGCCGGAGGAUCGGCCCGCGUCUGAUUAGCUAGUUGGUGAGGUAACGGCUCACCAAGGCGACGAUCAGUAGCUGGUCUGAGAGGAUGAUCAGCCACACUGGGACUGAGACACGGCCCAGACUCCUACGGGGGGCAGCAGUGGGGAAUAUUGGACAAUGGGCGCAAGCCUGAUCCAGCCAUGCCGCGUGAGUGAUCAAGGCCUUAGGGUUGUAAAGCUCUUUUAUCCGGGACGAUAAUGACGGUACCGGAGGAAUAAGCCCCGGCUAACUUCGU
rnacentral:rRNA from 1 species